rnacentral:rRNA from 1 species
GAUGAACGCUAGCUACAGGCUUAACACAUGCAAGUCGCAGGGUAACAUGAGGAAAGCUUGCUUUCCUUGAUGACGACUGGCGCACGGGUGAGUAACGCGUAUCCAACCUUCCCAUAACUACGGGAUAACCCGUUGAAAGACGGCCUAAUACCGUAUGAUAUCGUUUGCUGACAUCAAAUAACGAUUAAAGGUUUAGCGGUUAUGGAUGGGGAUGCGUCUGAUUAGCUUGUUGGCGGGGUAACGGCCCACCAAGGCGACGAUCAGUAGGGGUUCUGAGAGGAAGGUCCCCCACAUUGGAACUGAGACACGGUCCAAACUCCUACGGGAGGCAGCAGUGAUGAAUAUUGGUCAAUGGGCGAGAGCCUGAACCAGCCAAGUAGCGUGCAGGACGACGGCCCUAUGGGUUGUAAACUGCUUUUAUGUGGGGAUAAAGUGCGUGACGUGUCAUGCAUUGCAGGUACCACAUGAAUAAGGACCGGCUAAUUCCGUG